GCCUGGAUGGCUCAGCCGGUUGAGCGUCCGACUUCGGCUCAGGUCAUGAUCUCGCGGUUUGUGAGUUCGAGUCCCGCGUCGGGCU
rfam:Felis catus isolate Cinnamon breed Abyssinian chromosome C1, whole genome shotgun sequence.